rnacentral:rRNA from 1 species
CCUACGGGGUGCAGCAGUCGAGAAUCAUUCACAAUGGGGGAAACCCUGAUGGUGCGACGCCGCGUGGGGGAAUGAAGGUCUUCGGAUUGUAAACCCCUGUCAUGUGGGAGCAAAUUAAAAAGAUAGUACCACAAGAGGAAGAGACGGCUAACUCUGUGCCAGCAGCCGCGGUAAUACAGAGGUCUCAAGCGUUGUUCGGAAUCACUGGGCGUAAAGCGUGCGUAGGCUGUUUCGUAAGUCGUGUGUGAAAGGCGCGGGCUCAACCCGCGGACGGCACAUGAUACUGCGAGACUAGAGUAAGGGAGGGGGAACCGGAAUUCGCGGUGUAGCAGUGAAAUGCGUAGAUAUCGAGAGGAACACUCGUGGCGAAGGCGGGUUCCUGGACAUUAACUGACGCUGAGGCACGAAGGCCAGGGGAGCGAAAGGGAUUAGAUACCCGAGUAGUC